ACACCAAACAUUUUGUUUUUUUGUAGAUUAGGUUGGCAUAAUUCGCCAUUGCUUUUCAAUCUCAGUAUUUAAGCUAUACACAGUACUGCUGUAGUGCACGC